GUGAAUCAUCGAAUUUUUGAACGCAAAUUGCACUCUCCUCGGAGAGUAUGCCUGUUUGAGGGUCAGCCUAUAAAAAUCGACAUCGUUGCUGGUUCACGGUGGCGUUCGUCGGAAAUUAGGUUAUUUUAAAUCCUUUUGAUUUAAGCGACUUAAAAUUUUUUUUUGCUUCCAUGUACUUUUCUAAGAUCUAUUCCUCUACACGUUUUAGGUAUCGAUUUUUACUAUACGUGACCAUCAUAU
rnacentral:misc_RNA from 1 species